rnacentral:misc_RNA from 1 species
AACCUUAUGGACCUGCGGGCGUAUACCUGCGGAAGGAUCAUUACCUAGAGUUGUAGGCUUUGCCUGCUAUCUCUUACCCAUGUCUUUUGAGUACCUUACGUUUCCUCGGUGGGUUCGCCCGCCGGUUGGACAAAACUUAAACCCUUUGUAGUUGCAAUCAGCGUCUGAAAAAACUUAAUAGUUACAACUUUUAACAACGGAUCU